CGUGCCUAAUACAUGCAAGUAGAACGCUGAAGCUUGGUGCUUGCACCGAGCGGAUGAGUUGCGAACGGGUGAGUAACGCGUAGGUAACCUGCCUCUUAGCGGGGGAUAACUAUUGGAAACGAUAGCUAAUACCGCAUAAAAGUCGACAUCGCAUGAUGUUGACUUGAAAGGUGCAAUUGCAUCACUAAGAGAUGGACCUGCGUUGUAUUAGCUAGUUGGUGAGGUAACGGCUCACCAAGGCGACGAUACAUAGCCGACCUGAGAGGGUGAUCGGCCACACUGGGACUGAGACACGGCCCAGACUCCUACGGGAGGCAGCAGUAGGGAAUCUUCGGCAAUGGGGGCAACCCUGACCGAGCAACGCCGCGUGAGUGAAGAAGGUUUUCGGAUCGUAAAGCUCUGUUGUAAGAGAAGAACGAGUGUGAGAGUGGAAAGUUCACACUGUGACGGUAACUUACCAGAAAGGGACGGCUAACUACGUGCCAGCAGCCGCGGUAAUACGUAGGUCCCGAGCGUUAUCCGGAUUUAUUGGGCGUAAAGCGAGCGCAGGCGGUUAGAUAAGUCUGAAGUUAAAGGCUGUGGCUUAACCAUAGUACGCUUUGGAAACUGUUUAACUUGAGUGCAGAAGGGGAGAGUGGAAUUCCAUGUGUAGCGGUGAAAUGCGUCGAUAUAUGGAGGAACACCGGUG
rnacentral:rRNA from 1 species